GAUGAACGCUAGCGGCAGGCCUAACACAUGCAAGUCGAGGGAGGAGCUUUCGGGCUUCGACCGGCGUACGGGUGCGUAACGCGUAUACAAUCUGCCUUUCACAUAGGGAUAGCCCGAAGAACUUUGGAUUAAUACCUCAUGGUAUAUAGAGGUGGCAUCACCUUUAUAUUAAAGCUGAGGCGGUGAAAGAUGAGUAUGCGUUCUAUUAGCUAGUUGGAGAGGUAACGGCUCCCCAAGGCGACGAUAGAUAGGGGUUCUGAGAGGGAUAUCCCCCACACUGGUACUGAGAUACGGACCAGACUCCUACGGGAGGCAGCAGUGAGGAAUAUUGGACAAUGGUCGGAAGACUGAUCCAGCCAUGCCGCGUGCAGGAAGACGGCCUUAUGGGUUGUAAACUGCUUUUGCAGGGGAAGAAUAAGGACUACGCGUAGUUUGAUGACGGUACUCUGCGAAUAAGCAUCGGCUAACUCCGU
rnacentral:rRNA from 1 species